rnacentral:rRNA from 1 species
UACGUAGGGUGCAAGCGUUGUCCGGAAUUAUUGGGCGUAAAGAGCUCGUAGGCGGUCUGUCGCGUCGGCUGUGAAAACUUGGGGCUCAACCCCAAGCCUGCAGUCGAUACGGGCAGACUAGAGUGUGGUAGGGGAGACUGGAAUUCCUGGUGUAGCGGUGAAAUGCGCAGAUAUCAGGAGGAACACCGGUGGCGAAGGCGGGUCUCUGGGCCAUAACUGACGCUGAGAAGCGAAAGCAUGGGGAGCGAACAGG